rnacentral:misc_RNA from 1 species
UGUAAUCAUUGUUCUUAGGAAUCCUAAGUGAGGGAGAGUUGCCUUUGAAAUGAACAGAUCUUGUGAGGAAGAGUAUAUCAACGUAUCAGAAAUGGAUAUUGGCUGCUUUUAUUUUCACAGCAAUACUCGGUUUUUGGCAGCCUUUCAGAUUUCCAGUCAGAAUUUCAUAUUGGCUAAAAAACCAAAUUGAGUUUCUCUGUGUGGUUAGUAGUUAACUUGUAGCCUUUGAAUGAACGCGACCGGUGUUGAGUAGUUACAGUAGCUACCCUUGUUAAGUUGCAAUUAGUUUGUUAAUGACAUUGUAUCUGCAAAUCGUUGUUAUUUAUUCUCUUCUUUAAUUGAAAGAUAAUUUCAUUGAGAACAAGAUUAUUCCAGUCGCUUCAAAUUACUAAUAAAAGUUACAAUUAUG